CCAAAAAAAUAAGGAUAAUAGAAAGAAGCAAACAGUUCCUCACACAGGUGGAUCGAAGAGCAUUGCACGAAAGAAGGAUGAGAUGGAGCAAGAGCUUGGUCGCAAAGUUAGUAGGGGAGAAGUUUGGAUAGCAACACAUAAACAUGCUAAUGGGGAAUUUGUGAAUGAUGGAGCAAGAGAGAUUGGAG